rnacentral:rRNA from 1 species
UACGUAGGGUGCAAGCGUUAAUCGGAAUUACUGGGCGUAAAGCGUGCGCAGGCGGUGAUGUAAGACAGAUGUGAAAUCCCCGGGCUCAACCUGGGAACUGCAUUUGUGACUGCAUCGCUAGAGUACGGCAGAGGGGGAUGGAAUUCCGCGUGUAGCAGUGAAAUGCGUAGAUAUUGGGAGGAACACCAGUGGCGAAGGCGGCUCACUGGACCGGUACUGACGCUGAUGCGCGAAAGCGUGGGGAGCAAACGGG